AGAGAAGAACAUUGGGCAAUGGGCGGAAGCCUGACCCAGCAACGCCGCGUGAGGGAAGAAGGUUCUCGGAUUGUAAACCUCUGUCCUUGGUGACGAAGGAAGUGACGGUAGCCAAGGAGGAAGCCCCGGCUAACUACGUG
rnacentral:rRNA from 1 species